rnacentral:ribozyme from 13 species
UUUCUUUUUUUUUCGUUUUUUUUCUUUUAUUUUUUUUUUUUUUCAAUUAUAACCAGUCUCUAUUCUUUAAGAGCUAUUAGUCAUGUCA